rnacentral:rRNA from 1 species
GACGAACGCUGGCGGCGUGCUUAACACAUGCAAGUCGAACGGAAAGGCCCUGCUUUUGUGGGGUGCUCGAGUGGCGAACGGGUGAGUAACACGUGAGUAACCUGCCCUUGACUUUGGGAUAACUUCAGGAAACUGGGGCUAAUACCGGAUAGGAGCUCCUGCUGCAUGGUGGGGGUUGGAAAGUUUCGGCGGUUGGGGAUGGUCUCGCGGCUUAUCAGCUUGUUUGUGGGGUAGUGGCUUACCAAGGCUUUGACGGGUAGCCGGCCUGAGAGGGGGACCGGCCACAUUGGGACUGAGAGACGGCCCAGACUCCUACGGGAGGCAGCAGUGGGGAAUAUUGCACAAUGGGCGGAAGCCUGAUGCAGCAACGCCGCGUGCGGGAUGACGGCCUUCGGGUUGUAAACCGCUUUCGCCUGUGACGAAGCGUGAGUGACGGUAAUGGGUAAAGAAGCACCGGCUAACUACGUG